UGUCCUGUUUUGUUUUAUAGCUAUAAGAAACUGGCUGAGAAUAAAGAAGCUGAAUUUGUUAACCCUUCACCCCUUAAGAUGAAUCCAAAUGUUAUGUCUCAAGAAGCACAAAAUGUGAAUCAAUUUUUGGACAAAAAUGAAGAGCAUAUAGUGUUACAAAAGUCAACAAAUGAAGGUACAGAAAAUAACUGUCCAAGAGUAAAUACUGUGGAAGAACAAAUAGAUAAAAUGUACCUUUAUAUUUUGAAGAAAAAAAAUCUGUUAGUCCUUGAUAAUUACCCGAGGAUGACAAAAUACAUAAGACUUUUAGAUCUCGACUGAUUUCUGGAGAAGCAGGGGCUGGGACUGGUACACAGCUACCACACAGGAAGGACAGAAGUGCCCUUCCUUGUUUAAAAGAACACCCCAGAGUGGAUUAUAUGCAUCAGUGAGGAGCUCAGACUAUGGCAAACCCAGCUCACCAUUCAAGACAUUUUCUACUCUUGAAAAGAGAACUUCAAAGAGCAUUAUGAAAAGCAAAAUCUUGAGAUCCAUCCCUGCCUCAAAUCAAGCUAGGAAAAAAGAUAAACAAACUCCCAACAUUUCUGAAGUUUACUUUAUCCAAAUUCAUUCAUAUAACAUGUGUUUUUGGGCACCGACCUGGGUCUAGGCACUGUUGGACGCCCUCUAGGUACGUUGGUAAACAAGGCAGCGCCACGUCCCCUCCCCCAUCUCGUGGAGUUGUCAUCUGAUGAGGAGGGACAGACACUUAACAACAAGGAUACAAAUCAGUAAAUGAUGUUACAUGCUAAGGAGAAAUAGAAAGCAGAGCAAGAGUGUCAGUGGAGUCCAGCAGGUCACCACUUGAAAUAAGAUAGCGUCGGCCUCAGUGAGAGAGCCCUUUGAACGAAGACUUGUAGGAGUAAUUGGGAUUAGCUGUGUGGGUGUGUGUGGGAAGCAUAUUCCAGAAAAAUGAAACAGUCAGUCCAAAAGUCCCAAAGAGGGAGGAAUGCCUGGCAUUUUGGGGGUCAACAUAGAAGCCCACAUGGCUGGGGCAGAGUGGGCAGAGAGGGGAGGGGGAGGGGAGAUCGGGCAUCACAGGGACAGGCACGGUCGGCUUUUCUAGGGCAUUAAGCAGCCUUGGGCUUUCAUUCAGUGUGGAAAGGUGAGCACCUGGGAAGUUGUGAGCAUGGCAGUGACUUCACCUGAUGUAUCCUUUAGAUAGAUUUCUCGGGCUGAUGCCAUUGAACAUAUGCUCACAAAUAUAGACACACACCAUAGAGGCAUAGGAAGAAGCACAGAGACCAGUUAAAAGAGGAUUUGAGGAAUCCGGGCUGGGAGUGAUGGGGCCCAAUCCAGGGUGGUGGCAGUGGUGGUAAUGAGAAGCUAUUGGAUGGGGAUG